AGCGAACGCUGGCGGCGUGCCUAGCACAUGCAAGUCGAACGUGAAAAGGGAAACCUGAGUAAAGUGGCGUACGGGUGAGUCACGCGUAGGUAAUCUACCCCAGAAUCUGGAAUAACCUGCCGAAAGGCGGGCUAAUACUGGAUAGAGCGAGGGAACUCGUAAGAGAGUUUUUCGGGAAAGGGAGCCCGCAAGGGCCUUCGUUCUGGGAUGAGCCUGCGUCUCAUUAGCUAGUUGGUAAGGUAACGGCUUACCAAGGCGAUGAUGAGUAGCUGGUCUGAGAGGAUGAUCAGCCACACUGGAACUGAAACACGGUCCAGACUCCUACGGGAGGCAGCAGUGGGGAAUCUUGCGCAAUAGACGAAAGUCUGACGCAGCCACGCCGCGUGAGUGAAGAAGGCCUUCGGGUUGUAAAGCUCUGUCGGAUGGGACGAACAUCUUCAUAGUGAAUAGCUAUGAGGACUGACGGUACCAUCAAAGGAAGCACCGGCUAACUCCGUG
rnacentral:rRNA from 1 species